rnacentral:rRNA from 1 species
GACGGAGGGUGCGAGCGUUAAUCGGAAUUACUGGGCGUAAAGCGUGCGCAGGCGGUUGAGCAAAACAGGCGUGAAAUCCCCGGGCUUAACCUGGGAAUGGCGCUUGUGACUGCACGGCUGGAGUGCGGCAGAGGGGGAUGGAAUUCCGCGUGUAGCAGUGAAAUGCGUAGAUAUGCGGAGGAACACCGAUGGCGAAGGCAAUCCCCUGGGCCUGCACUGACGCUCAUGAACGAAAGCGUGGGGAGCAAACAGG